rnacentral:rRNA from 1 species
UACAGAGGUCCCGAGCGUUGUUCGGAUUCACUGGGCGUAAAGGGUGCGUAGGUGGCGAGGAAAGUCGGAUGUGAAAGCUCGGAGCUCAACUCCGAAAUGGCAUUGGAAACUACCUUGCUCGAGGGUUGGAGGGGGACUGGAAUUCUCGGUGUAGCAGUGAAAUGCGUAGAUAUCGAGAGGAACACCAGUGGCGAAGGCGAGUCCCUGGACAACUCCUGACACUGAGGCACGAAAGCCUAGGGGAGCAAACAGG